rnacentral:lncRNA from 1 species
AGCUAACCCCAUUUUACAUUUAACUAUCCGAAUACCCCCUCCCCCAAACCCUUAGAGACCGGUUCAUUUCCCCAUUUUUAUUCCCUCUCAUCUCUCUCACUCAAACCCAGCCGCCCUAAAAUCCCCAAAUCCCUCACCAACGGCCACCACUCUAAACAGCCCCAAACCUUUACCCUACAAUCCUCGUCUCAUCCUCACCCUAUAUCACCCUUUUGUUUUUUCAAAAACCAUUUAGAUUUCCACUAAUUCCAGAUCUAAAAAAUCCCAAAAACCCUAGGUUCUUUCCUUUUUGAUUCUUCAAGUUUCAAGGUUUGAUUCGAGCAGAAAAUCACAUUAAUCGAUUGUUCUCGAUGUUAAUUUCAGUUCAUGUCGAAGACAUCGGAAUCCGGCCGAAUCUCGUUGAAGUCGCUUCAAUUGAACCAUUUUUCUUUUCAUUAGGUACAUCCUCACCUUGUUCUAUCUCAUUUUGGUUUUCAUUUGUUUUAAGAAAAAAAGAGAGCAGAGGAACAGUCCUUUAGGCAUAAUUGAAAUUGCUUGUUUGAGUAUUAAAAUUAGCCUAAUUAGAUUAGCUUUAGCACAUAGGUUAGUUAAUUAACCCGUAUAUUAACACCUAGUUUAACACAUUUGUGUGUUUGGAUUCCUUAAUUGCAUGUUAACUAGUUUUAAAUGCAAAUUGCAGGUUUAAUCAAGUUUUGAAUUUAAUUAGAUGUUGGGACAUUUUGUUUGUUAAAAUUGUUUGCUAGGAUAAAUUGCUUCACUGUUUGCCUCGUUUGAUUUUUGUAUUUUUUUGAUAACCUUGUUUUGUAAAUAUUACGAACUUAAUAGAGUUAAUUGAAAUAAACAAAUUUAGGAGAAUCUUUUAGAUGUUACUAGAAAAAGAGCAGCUAGAAAAAAAGGAUAGUUGUCCUAAUUUAUUAAGCAAAGAUGCUGAAAAAAAGAUAAAUAUCUGGAAACAAGGACAGUUGUCCAAAAAGUUGUUAAAAAAAGAUGUCAUUCCCCUGAAAUUUAGGAGUUGACAGAUUCCUCUUAGACUCUUUCUUAUUCAAUAUCCUCUUACACAUCAUUCUCUAUAUAAGACCCCCAUUCCUUCACUCAGACAAACGUCAAUUCUCUGAAUUUCUCUCAAAGAAAAGAACACUUUGAAACAUUCAGUCUAAAUACAGAUAAACAAAAAAUAUAGAAAAAUAAAUUCCAAACUUUUCUCUGUUUUGUCCUCAUGCUUCAUUUCUUUUGGGUUUUACAAGUGUGAUUAAUUGUUGAAACCUUGGUUUUACUGCUGAUUUUGCUGCUAGAAUUUUAACUUGAACCAGAUUCUACUCUUCUUUGGAUUAUCCUUUAGUGUUUUCCUAUUUAGCUAGGUUAGUACCAAGUUCCCUAUGUUGUUAUAUUUUUAUCGAAUGAUCAAAUGUUAUUAUUCUUGAUUGAUUUAUGAGUAUUUGUUCGUUGCUCUCUUAAUGUGUUAGUUUAAAUAUGUUUUUCACUUUAAUCUGGGCGAAAAUAAUGAAGUAGAUCACUCGUAUGGGUCAAUCUGAUAUCUAUGGUCAUUCAAGCAUGUGGCAUCAGUUGUUAAACCUUUUCUUUAGUCUUGAACAAGGUUGAAGUUUUGUUUAAAUCAUGUAGACUUGGCAGUAGUUUAAAUAGAGGCUUUACUUUAGUGUUGUGUGUGAAAUAUGUGGAUUUGUGUUAAUUUUGGAAUGCAAGAGAGUUGUUAUUACUGAAUAUAUGGCUGUGAUUUGCAGAUUUAACCACUAGUUGGUCAGAUCAGUGAACUCUAAGGCUAAGAGGUGGAUUUGGAGUCAUUGGUGAAUGGAAGUUAAGCCGAAGAUCGAUCAUAUCCUGUUUAAGUUAGCCAUUAUUGUGAACAACUCAUGUAUAUAUUCAGAACAAUUUAUGCCCAUUACCAUUAUUGAGAAUCAUUAUUGAAAUGGCCAGAACUGUAAAUGUGAGAGUUCAGUCAAAUUUUUCUUUUGAAGUUGAAUGCCGAUUUAGAACUAACCAUGAUGAUUUUCUUUGGCUUUGUCAUUGAUCCCUACCGUUGCUCACUAUUAAGCAACAACAACCUUGUGAAUUCACAGAAGUGGCUAUUUGGUGAAGAGCUUGCAAUUUUCUUUGCUUCUUCUUUUAUCAUG